AUGCAGAGAACUUUCCAGAGAUGGAUUGGUGCCUUCGGGAACUCUGACACAGGUGCUGCAUGGCUGUCGUCAGCUCGUGUCGUGAGAUGUUGGGUUAAGUCCCAUAACGAGCGCAACCCUAUCAUUAGUUGCCAUCAGGUCAAGCUGGGGACUCUAAUGAAACUGCCUACGCAAGUAGUGAGGAAGGUGGGGAUGACGUCAAAUCAGCACGGCCCUUACGCCCAGGGCUACACACGUGCUACAAUGGCCGAUACAAAGGGCAGCGACACUGCGAGGUGAAGCCAAUCCCGUAAAAUCGGUCUCAGUCCGGAUUGGAGUCUGCAACUCGACUCCAUGAAGUUGGAAUCGCUAGUAAUCGUGGAUCAGCAUGCCACGGUGAAUACGUUCCCGGGCCUU
rnacentral:rRNA from 1 species